UACGUAGGGGGCAAGCGUUGUCCGGAUUUAUUGGGCGUAAAGAGCGUGUAGGCGGUUCGGUAGGUCCGUUGUGAAAACUCGAGGCUCAACCUCGAGACGCCGAUGGAAACCAUCUGACUAGAGUCCGGAAGAGGAGAGUGGAAUUCCUGGUGUAGCGGUGAAAUGCGCAGAUAUCAGGAGGAACACCGAUGGCGAAGGCAGGUCUCUGGGCCACUACUGACGCUGAGAAGCGAAAGCAUGGGGAGCGAACAGG
rnacentral:rRNA from 1 species